ensembl:lncRNA
ACAAACAUAAGAUGUACAUAUGAAAGAACAGAAUUUGCUGAAGGGGAAAAGUGUUCUCAUGAUUGCCAUUAACACAGCUUUUGUUCCGUGAGUUUUUAUUGUUUAAACAUAGCACUAUAUCAGACAGGGACACCCAAUUGUGGAAACAUAACACAUGGUCCUUUGUGUACAUUAAAAUAAUCACUUAUCAAGAACCUGCACAAUAAAACAGGCACGUCACAAAGGCUCUUUAUUAUUUCCUUUUAUGACAAUUUAAAGACCUUUGAGCUCAUGGCUGACAAAAGCACAUAAGACUGCAGAUCUACAUGCCCUGUUUUACAAUAGAUAAUGUUGUGUAUAUAGUACACCUGUGUGUGCUUGCGUGAAGUUUCAAUCCCUGAUUCGCCUGAUUUAAUGUCUCUUUAAUGUUUCUUUCUUUAUGAGUUUUUAAAAUGGGUCAAAGAAAGAUAUUCAUUGACGAAAAUAUCGAUGGGAAUUCAGCUCUUGACACAUGAUUUUAAAACCCCCACUUCUUUUAAUUUGACGUUUGAAAAACAACAUUCAUGCUAUAGACGCCAAUAGUGUGUCCAUCUAACGCAGGUGUAAAAACAAUGACAAACAACAAAGUGCAAUGCAAAACGUGUUCUAUAUAGGAACUAGAGGCUUCCUUAUAUGGAGACAUGACGUUCAAGACUGUGCAUCUGGGUGUGAGACCCUUGUUGACUUCACUCAGGCAGAUCAGUUUGCUGUGAAGCCCGGGGACUUCAUGGAAACCAAGGAAACGUUAGGGGCAAAUCAAGAGGCUACCCUUACAGCCAAGGAAUCUCCAAAAAUAUCCUGACAUUCUUGAUGUCUUGGCCUUGUUUGAGCAGUGUAUGACUUAAAAUGCACUUGUUUUGGUUUGCACUACAUCUCAGUCACAUUUGGAGGCUCUGGGAGCGUCGGAAGGCUGCAAUGUUUAUUGCAUUUCCAGCUGCCCGUUUGCUUUGUACGUGUUGGACAGCACUGAGCUUUGUCCGUUUCCCGAAAAUUAUGCUGAAUCAAUGCAUUAGCUCAUUGCCAAAUAGAUGAAGUCAGAUUUUUCCCACUGAUGUGGUGCUAGGAGGUGAUUAGGCGUGAGCCAAAACAUUAGUGUUAUCAUUAUCAAUUCAAAUCCAGCAUUCACCAGGGAUAAAAAAAAAAAAAACUAUUUACAUGCACUAUUUGCAUGUAUCAUUCUGCACUUGGAUUUUCACACAAACAUGAAUCAAGAAAAGGGGGCAUAGGUCAGGAAUUUAGAAAAGUGUUGUUGAUGUACUCCUGCAUGUUAUGUGGGUGACAAGUGUUAAAUGCGUCAAAAGCGCAUGCAUGUUACUGUACUUCCCCCGUCAGGCUGCAUGUGGCGACGUGUUC